rnacentral:rRNA from 1 species
GUCCACGCCGUAAACGAUGUCUACUUGGAGGUUGUGGCCUUGAGCCGUGGCUUUCGGAGCUAACGCGUUAAGUAGACCGCCUGGGGAGUACGGUCGCAAGAUUAAAACUCAAAUGAAUUGACGGGGGCCCGCACAAGCGGUGGAGCAUGUGGUUUAAUUCGAUGCAACGCGAAGAACCUUACCUACUCUUGACAUCCAGAGAAGCCAGCAGAGAUGCAGGUGUGCCUUCGGGAGCUCUGAGACAGGUGCUGCAUGGCU